AAUCAACGCUGGCGGCGUGCCUCAGACAUGCAAGUCGAACGAUUAAGACUCUCUUCGGAGAGUGUAUAAAGUGGCGCACGGGUGAGUAACACGUAGGUAAUGUACCGAAGGGUGGGGAAUAACUUAGGGAAACUUAAGCUAAUACCGCAUAAUACAGCGGCUCGACAUCGAGACAGUUGUUAAAGGAGCAAUCCGCCUUUUGAGCAGCCUGCGGCAGAUUAGCUAGUUGGUAAGGUAAUGGCUUACCAAGGCUACGAUCUGUAACCGACCUGAGAGGGUGGUCGGUCACACUGACACUGAAUAACGGGUCAGACUCCUACGGGAGCAGCAGUCGGGAAUUUUGGGCAAUGGGCGAAAGCCUGACCCAGCAACGCCGCGUGAAGGAUGAAGUAUUUCGGUAUGUAAAGCUCUUUUACCAGGGAUGAUAAUGACAGUACCUGGAGAAUAAGCUCCGGCUAACUCCGUGCCAGCAGCCGCGGUAAU
rnacentral:rRNA from 1 species